rnacentral:sRNA from 1 species
UUUUUCCAAAAUGUUUAGUAAGUUACAUAAUCAUAUUAUUCCACUUCUGGUCCUCGUUAGGAUGGCCGAGUAGUCUAAGACUAUCUACAAUGAUUACCUAUUUAUAACACCCACUUUUUCACUUUUAACACUCCACAUUAUUUUCUCUCUCUUCCACAUCAUUAUUCAACACCUACAUAAUUUUUAAUCUUACAAUAGUUUUGUUUAAUAAAAUUACAACACCUUACCCCACCAUUUUUAUUUCAUAUUUUAACCUAUACAUUAUUUUUGGGUCUAAAAAUGGUUUUUUCUGUAUUUAAAUCAAAUGAAAAUAGUCUCUGUUUAUAGAGAAUGAAAAUUUAUAAAAUUUUAUAUAAAUUAUAUAUAUAUAAAUAUAUAUAAAUAUUAUGAAAUAAUUGAAGUUAUAUAAUUAAGAUGAAACAAAAAUAUUAGAAAUCAAAGCAACCAAUCAAAAUAUAACACUUGUCACACUUAUCUUCUCCCUUCUACUUUCACGGAUGUUAAAAUUUAUCAACACUAAAUUUGCCACAUCAGCUACUUUUCAAUUACAAAAUACCAUUAUAGUGGAAUUUGUUUUUUCACCAGUUGUAAAAUGGUUUACAACAAACCAUUGUAACUAGUCUAAGGCGCUAGAGUCAAGUUCUGGUCCUCGUAAGAGGGCG